rnacentral:rRNA from 1 species
CCUACGGGUGGCAGCAGUGGGGGAUAUUGCACAAUGGGGGAAACCCUGAUGCAGCGACGCCGCGUGUGGGAAGACGGUCCUCUGGAUUGUAAACCACUGUCCCCAGGGACGAAGAUGACGGUACCUGGGGAGGAAGCUCCGGCUAACUACGUGCCAGCAGCCGCGGUAAUACGCAGGGAGCGAGCGUUGUCCGGAAUUACUGGGUGUAACGGGAGCGUAGGCGGGACUGCAAGUUGGGUGUCAAAUCUACCGGCUCAACCGGUAGCCGCACUCAAAACUGCAGUUCUUGAGUGAAGUAGAGGCAGGCGGAAUUCCUAGUGUAGCGGUGAAAGGCGUAGAUAUUAGGAGGAACACCAGUGGCGAAGGCGGCCUGCUGGGCUUUUACUGACGCUGAGGCUCGAAAGUGUGGGGAGCAAACAGGAUUAGAUACCCUUGUAGUC